rnacentral:lncRNA from 1 species
AAGUUGCUUACCGAUCUACCUCGUUUGCUAGCGGUGAUACUAAAGCUCACUAGUGGACUUGUUAGUUGUGGAUCCUGAAUCACUAAGUUUCAAUAGAGGGAUAUUGAUUUUAGUGGGAGUAGAUUCUGUUAAAAUAGUUUAAUGUAAUUUGCUCUAUCAUGGAUACGUUUGUCUUAGUGUAUUUUGCAUUACUUUUGUUGUAGAUUAAAUGGCACCUAG